rnacentral:rRNA from 2 species
AACUUUUAACAACGGAUCUCUUGGUUCUCGCAUCGAUGAAGAACGCAGCGAAUUGCGAUACGUUUUGUGAAUUGCAGAAGUGAAUCAUCAAUCUUUGAACGCACAUUGCGCCUGGUGGUAUUCCGCCAGGCAUACCUGUUUGAGCGUUGUUC